UGAGCCACGAGGAGGCCGUUCAGUCUGCACCGCUGCACGUAAUCAAUAAGGACUGGCAGAUACUCUGUGAUAGGUUUUCAUCUGAUUCUUUUCAGCGAGAUUCCGUCACUAGUCAGGAGCCCGGACCAGUAGACUUCUACAAAGGUACUCACUGUCGACAGGCGAAAGGAUCUUGAGCACAUCCUAUAGCUAGCGAGAUUUGAGAGGAGAUGGACACCUUACGCAGUCAGCCCACUCCCGAUGGUACUUAGCGGAGUGAGCCAGAGAUCCUAAGUCAGGUGCUUGGUCCCCGUUCUGGAUAUGUACGUGGGUUUGGCCAUGGUGCUAAGCUCAUGGCACCUGCUAGAGCUGCUUCCAGCCGAUCCAUCGUCGUUGGCGACAGCGCCGUACGCCAAGCUGAUACCGCAGAGAGAGAGGUUCAGCAGCUACGGGUCGUCGUCGAUGACAUCAAAGAUCAACUGGACAGGCAGAGGGAGGAGCGGGAGAGGAAGAUGAUGGAUCAGCUGGCGAGGCAGAGGAAGGAGCAGGAGAGGAGGAUGGAGGAGGAGCUGGUAAGGCAGAGGGAGGAGCA